rnacentral:antisense_RNA from 1 species
CUCCCCCACCAACCUCAGUGGUUCAGUGGUGUCUGCAAAAUGCAUCCAUCCUCCCAUCUGAGUAGCAGAACUGUAAGAGAAAGCAACAUUCACCUUUGUGUCACAGAUCAAAUGGUAACCCACUGAAGACCACCCCAUUACCUUGUGCUAGAACGGAACUGCCUCUGCCAUCUCUCUUUAACAGAAGCACAUCCUGAGAACCUGAGAGCUCAAGGUAAGUGGCUGAACACUGUCAACACAUACAGACAUCUAACUAUCUCCUUACUGUACAGCCAUAGCAAGAAACAAACACAUGCAAUGCUGUCAAGGUAGAAGACACCACUGUUUACUACCCCAGUCCCAAAUAUCUGUGUACGUUAGCACAGCCUACGUAGCUCUUCUGUCAUUGUCUUUUUAAGUAAACAUUAUACAUUUGAACUGAA